rnacentral:rRNA from 1 species
GACCAGACUCCUACGGGAGGCAGCAGUGAGGAAUAUUGGUCAAUGGCCGUAAGGCUGAACCAGCCAAGUAGCGUGAGGGAAGACUGCCCUAUGGGUUGUAAACCUCUUUUAUGCGGGGAUAAAGGUGUCCACGUGUGGAUGUUUGCAGGUACCGCAUGAAUAAGGACCGGCUAAUUCCGUGCCAGCAGCCGCGGUAAUACGGAAGGUCCGGGCGUUAUCCGGAUUUAUUGGGUUUAAAGGGUGCGCAGGCGGAGGUGCAAGUCAGCGGUCAAAUUGCGGGGCUCAACCCCGUACUGCCGUUGAAACUGCAUCCCUUGAGUGCGCGAGAAGUAUGCGGAAUGCGUAGUGUAGCGGUGAAAUGCUUAGAUAUUGCGCAGAACUCCGAUUGCGAAGGCAGCAUACCGGCGGCGAUCUGACGCUGAGGCACGAAAGCAUGGGUAUCGAACAGGAUUAGAUACCCCCGUA